rnacentral:tRNA from 1 species
GCCACCCUAGCUCAAUCGGCAGAGCAGGCGCUUCGUAAGCGUCAGGUUUGGGGUUCAAUUCCCCAGGGUGGCU